CACGUAGGGGGCGAGCGUUGUCCGGAUUUAUUGGGCGUAAAGAGCUCGUAGGCGGUUCGAUAAGUCGGGUGUGAAAACUCUGGGCUCAACUCAGAGACGCCACCCGAUACUGUUGUGACUUGAGUCCGGUAGGGGAGUAUGGAAUUCCCGGUGUAGCGGUGAAAUGCGCAGAUAUCGGGAGGAACACCAGUGGCGAAGGCGGUACUCUGGGCCGGAACUGACGCUGAGGAGCGAAAGCGUGGGGGAGCGAACAGG
rnacentral:rRNA from 1 species